CCGAGCGGCGUUUAAAGUCCCUACAGAGCAGGUUUUGGCGUUCAGUGUCAUUAGGACGACGGCACAGGUGAAAACUUUUCACACGUACAGUGGCUGUUGUCCCACACGGACACCGCAUCGUCCCCCUCCUCCCAAACAGAUACCCAAUGGAUAUUAGGAGACAGGACAACAGGACAAGGAGACAACAGUUGCUUUAUUAUAUUCCCACAGCAGUAUUAACAGUAUAACGACAGCAACAUAGGAUUUGAAAGUGCAGAAAGGUAAACAAUUCAAACACAGCCAGACACCCAGCACUGCACAACAACCAACAUACAGUAGCACUUCAGAUGGUCCCUACUUUACUUUGGAA